UCCUUCGUGGUGUAAUGGUGAGCACGCUCGACGCGUAUUCUAGAGGUCCGAGGUUCGAGUCCCGGCGAGGGCA
rnacentral:tRNA from 1 species